GACGGACGCUGGCGGCGUGCUUAACACAUGCAAGUCGAGCGGUAAGGCCCUUUCGGGGGUACACGAGCGGCGAACGGGUGAGUAACACGUGGGUGACCUGCCCUCAGCUCUGGGAUAAGCCUGGGAAACCGGGUCUAAUACUGGAUAUGACUCCAUGACGCAUGUUGUGGGGUGGAAAGCCUUGUGCGGCUGAGGAUGGGCCCGCGGCCUAUCAGCUUGUUGGUGGGGGAUGGCCUACCAAGGCGACGACGGGUAGCCGGCCUGAGAGGGCGGACCGGCCACACUGGGACUGAGACACGGCCCAGACUCCUACGGGAGGCAGCAGGUGGGGAAUUCUUGCGCAAUGGGACGAAAGCCUGACGCAGCGACGCCGCGU
rnacentral:rRNA from 1 species